GUCACUUCUUUGCCUUUCGGCUAAGAUCAAGUAUAGUAUCUUAAAAUAUUUUUUUAAUUUAAAAAUAUGUCUUAGAGCCGGGCAGCAGUGGUGCAUGACUUUACUCCCAGUACUUGGGAGGCAGAGGCAGGCAGA
rnacentral:snRNA from 1 species